rnacentral:lncRNA from 1 species
CCACAAGUAUUUAUAACAAGCUGAAUUUCGGAGUGUCUUUUUUUGUUCUUUACAGAAUAUGAUGUAAAUCUUGCCAGUCAAUGUGAUUUAAAUCUUGGCAGUAAGAAUCAAAAUACUGAACAAGGUAAGAUAAUUGUCUUAUUCUUCAAUUUUGUAGUUGUUACAUAAAAUAGAGUUGCUAACUGCUAUAAAAGCAUCAUUUGUAUACAGGGGUUAUAAAUGGCAAUGUUAAUCCUGGUGUUUUUGAUAUUGAAGAUGACUAUGAUAGUCUAGAGGAUGAAGAUUUUGUUUUAAGUGAAGAUUAUAACCGAUUUGUUAAUGGUGGACACAAGGAGUCUUCUACAAAAACUAGGAACAAGGGAAAGCUACCCGAUAUUGACAUUGAUAGAAUUGAUGCUGAGGAAGCUUAUGAAAGUCCAUGGUCAUAUUCAGAUAAUGAGAGUGAAGAUGAUGGAGAGUUGAGACCAGAAGAGAUCCAAAGGGCCAAAGAGAUAUGUGAAGAUCUGAGCCAUUCAUUUAGAUUAAUCUAAUGAGGGUACGGUUGGUAUAUUAUAAAUAAUUUAUUUAAAAUUAUGACACGUAAAUUAAUAGUGGGGUCAACAGACGGUUUGUUAACAGAAAAGUUGACGGGCU